rnacentral:rRNA from 1 species
AGAGUUUGAUCCUGGCUCAGGACGAACGCUGGCGGCGUGCCUAAUACAUGCAAGUAGAACGCUGAAGAGAGGAGCUUGCUCUUCUUGGAUGAGUUGCGAACGGGUGAGUAACGCGUAGGUAACCUGCCUUGUAGCGGGGGAUAACUAUUGGAAACGAUAGCUAAUACCGCAUAACAAUGGAUGACACAUGUCAUUUAUUUGAAAGGGGCAAUUGUUCCACUACAAGAUGGACCUGCGUUGUAUUAGCUAGUAGGUGAGGUAAUGGCUCACCUAGGCGACGAUACAUAGCCGACCUGAGAGGGUGAUCGGCCACACUGGGACUGAGACACGGCCCAGACUCCUACGGGAGGCAGCAGUAGGGAAUCUUCGGCAAUGGGGGCAACCCUGACCGAGCAACGCCGCGUGAGUGAAGAAGGUUUUCGGAUCGUAAAGCUCUGUUGUAAGUCAAGAACGGGUGUGAGAGUGGAAAGUUCACACUGUGACGGUAGCUUACCAGAAAGGGACGGCUAACUACGUGCCAGCAGCCGCGGUAAUACGUAGGUCCCGAGCGUUGUCCGGAUUUAUUGGGCGUAAAGCGAGCGCAGGCGGUUUGAUAAGUCUGAAGUUAAAGGCUGUGGCUCAACCAUAGUUCGCUUUGGAAACUGUCAAACUUGAGUGCAGAAGGGGAGAGUGGAAUUCCAUGUGUAGCGGUGAAAUGCGUAGCUAUAUGGAGGAACACCGGUGGCGAAAGCGGCUCUCUGGUCUGUAACUGACGCUGAGGCUCGAAAGCGUGGGGAGCGAACAGGAUUAGAUACCCUGGUAGUCCACGCCGUAAACGAUGAGUGCUAGGUGUUGGAUCCUUUCCGGGAUUCAGUGCCGCAGCUAACGCAUUAAGCACUCCGCCUGGGGAGUACGACCGCAAGGUUGAAACUCAAAGGAAUUGACGGGGGCCCGCACAAGCGGUGGAGCAUGUGGUUUAAUUCGAAGCAACGCGAAGAACCUUACCAGGUCUUGACAUCCCGAUGCUAUUUCUAGAGAUAGAAAGUUACUUCGGUACAUCGGUGACAGGUGGUGCAUGGUUGUCGUCAGCUCGUGUCGUGAGAUGUUGGGUUAAGUCCCGCGACGAGCGCAACCCCUAUUGUUAGUUGCCAUCAUUCAGUUGGGCACUCUAGCGAGACUGCCGGUAAUAAACCGGAGGAAGGUGGGGAUGACGUCAAAUCAUCAUGCCCCUUAUGACCUGGGCUACACACGUGCUACAAUGGUUGGUACAACGAGUUGCGAGUCGGUGACGGCGAGCUAAUCUCUUAAAGCCAAUCUCAGUUCGGAUUGUAGGCUGCAACUCGCCUACAUGAAGUCGGAAUCGCUAGUAAUCGCGGAUCAGCACGCCGCGGUGAAUACGUUCCCGGGCCUUGUACACACCGCCCGUCACACCACGAGAGUUUGUAACACCCGAAGUCGGUGAGGUAACCUUUUGGAGCCAGCCGCCUAAGGUGGGACAGAUGAUUGGGGUGAAGUCGUAACAAGGUA